ACUGACGCUGAGGAGCGAAAGCGUGGGGAGCGAACAGGAUUAGAUACCCUGGUAGUCCACGCCGUAAACGGUGGAUGCUGGAUGUGGGGCCCGUUCCACGGGUUCCGUGUCGGAGCUAACGCGUUAAGCAUCCCGCCUGGGGAGUACGGCCGCAAGGCUAAAACUCAAAGAAAUUGACGGGGGCCCGCACAAGCGGCGGAGCAUGCGGAUUAAUUCGAUGCAACGCGAAGAACCUUACCUGGGCUUGACAUGUUCCCGACGGUCGUAGAGAUACGGCUUCCCUUCGGGGCGGGUUCACAGGUGGUGCAUGGUCGUCGUCAGCUCGUGUCGUGAGAUGUUGGGUUAAGUCCCGCAACGAGCGCAACCCUCGCCCCGUGUUGCCAGCGGAUUAUGCCGGGAACUCACGGGGGACCGCCGGGGUUAACUCGGAGGAAGGUGGGGAUGACGUCAGAUCAUCAUGCCCCUUACGUCCAGGGCUUCACGCAUGCUACAAUGGCCGGUACAACGGGAUGCGACGCGGCGACGCGGAGCGGAUCCCUGAAAACCGGUCUCAGUUCGGAUCGCAGUCUGCAACUCGACUGCGUGAAGGCGGAGUCGCUAGUAAUCGCGAAUCAGCAACGUCGCGGUGAAUGCGUUCCCGGGCCUUGUACACACCGCCCGUCAAGUCAUGAAAGUGGGCAGCACCCGAAGCCGGUGGCCUAACCCGUUGUGGGAUGGAGCCGUCUAAGGUGAGGCUCGUGAUUGGGACUAAGUCGUAACAAGGUAGCCGUACCGGAAGGUGCGGCUG
rnacentral:rRNA from 1 species